rnacentral:rRNA from 1 species
CCUACGGGAGGCAGCAGUAGGGAAUCUUUCACAAUGGGCGAAAGCCUGAUGGAGCAACGCCGCGUGCAGGAUGAAGGCCUUCGGGUUGUAAACUGCUUUUAUAAGCGAGAAAUAUGAUGGUAACUUAUGAAUAAGGAUCGGCUAACUACGUGCCAGCAGCCGCGGUCAUACGUAGGAUCCGAGCAUUAUCCGGAGUGACUGGGUGUAAAGAGUUGCGUAGGUGGCAUAAUAAGUAGCUAGUGAAAUCUGGUGGCUCAACCAUUCAGACUAUUAGCUAAACUGUUAAGCUCGAGACCGUGAGGGGUAACUGGAAUUCCUAGUGUAGGAGUGAAAUCCGUAGAUAUUAGGAGGAACACCAAUAGCGUAGGCAGGUUGCUGGGACGGUUCUGACACUAAGGCACGAAAGCGUAGGGAGCAAACGGGAUUAGAUACCCUUGUAGUC